UGGGGAAUAUUGCACAAUGGGCGCAAGCCUGAUGCAGCCAUGCCGCGUGUAUGAAGAAGGCCUUGGUUGUAAAGUACUUUCAGCGGGGAGGAAGGUGUUGUGGUUAAUAACCGCAGCAAUUGACGUUACCGCAGAANAAGCACCGGCUAACUCCGUGCCAC
rnacentral:rRNA from 1 species